rnacentral:rRNA from 1 species
CCGGACUCCUACGGGAGGCAGCAGUGGGGAAUAUUGCACAAUGGGGGAAACCCUGAUGCAGCGACGCCGCGUGAGUGAAGAAGUAUUUCGGUAUGUAAAGCUCUAUCAGCAGGGAAGAAAAUGACGGUACCUGAUUAAGAAGCCCCGGCUAACUACGUGCCAGCAGCCGCGGUAAUACGUAGGGGGCGAGCGUUAUCCGGAUUUACUGGGUGUAAAGGGAGCGUAGACGGUUUUUCAAGUCUGAAGUGAAAGCCCGCGGCUCAACUGCGGAACGGCUUUGGAAACUGAGGGACUAGAGUGCUGGAGGGGCAGGCGGAAUUCCUAGUGUAGCGGUGAAAUGCGUAGAUAUUAGGAGGAACACCAGUGGCGAAGGCGGCUUACUGGACUGUAACUAACGUUGAGGCUCGAAAGCGUGGGGAGCAAACAGGAUUAGAUACCCCUGUA